AUUGAACGCUGGCGGCAGGCCUAACACAUGCAAGUCGAGCGGAUGAGGGUAGCUUGCUACCUGAUUCAGCGGCGGACGGGUGAGUAAUGCCUAGGAAUCUGCCCGAUAGUGGGGGACAACGUUUCGAAAGGAACGCUAAUACCGCAUACGUCCUGCGGGAGAAAGUGGGGGAUCUUCGGACCUCACGCUAUCGGAUGAGCCUAGGUCGGAUUAGCUAGUUGGUGAGGUAAUGGCUCACCAAGGCUACGAUCCGUAACUGGUCUGAGAGGAUGAUCAGUCACACUGGAACUGAGACACGGUCCAGACUCCUACGGGAGGCAGCAGUGGGGAAUAUUGGACAAUGGGCGAAAGCCUGAUCCAGCCAUGCCGCGUGUGUGAAGAAGGUCUUCGGAUUGUAAAGCACUUUAAGUUGGGAGGAAGGGCUGUAGGCUAAUAUCCUGCAGUUUUGACGUUACCAACAGAAUAAGCACCGGCUAACUUCGUGCCAGCCGCCGCGGUAAAAC
rnacentral:rRNA from 1 species